GACGACGCUGGCGGCGUGCUUAACACAUGCAAGUCGAACGGAAAGGCCCAGCUUGCUGGGUAUCGAGUGGCGAACGGGUGAGUAACACGUGGGUGAUCUGCCUUGCACUCUGGGAUAAGCCUGGGAAACUGGGUCUAAUACCGGAUAUGACCUCUGACUGCAUGGUUGGGGGUGGAAAGCUUUUGCGGUGUGAGAUGGGCCCGCGGCCUAUCAGCUUGUUGGUGAGGUAAUGGCUCACCAAGGCGACGACGGGUAGCCGACCUGAGAGGGUGAUCGGCCACACUGGGACUGAGACACGGCCCAGACUCCUACGGGAGGCAGCAGUGGGGAAUAUUGCACAAUGGGCGCAAGCCUGAUGCAGCGACGCCGCGUGGGGGAUGACGGCCUUCGGGUUGUAAACUCCUUUCGCCAGGGACGAAGCGCAAGUGACGGUACCUGGAGAAGAAGCACCGGCCAACUACGUG
rnacentral:rRNA from 1 species